rnacentral:rRNA from 1 species
AGAGUUUGAUCCUGGCUCAGACGAACGCUGGCGGCGUGCUUAACACAUGCAAGUCGAACGAUGAAGCCUAGCUUGCUAGGUGGAUUAGUGGCGAACGGGUGAGUAAUACGUGAGUGACCUACCUUUGACUCUGGGAUAAGCCUGGGAAACUGGGUCUAAUACCGGAUACGACCAAUCUCCGCAUGGGGUGUUGGUGGAAAGCGUUAUGGAGUGGUUUUAGAUGGGCUCACGGCCUAUCAGCUUGUUGGUGAGGUAAUGGCUUACCAAGGCGACGACGGGUAGCCGGCCUGAGAGGGUGACCGGCCACACUGGGACUGAGACACGGCCCAGACUCCUACGGGAGGCAGCAGUGGGGAAUAUUGCACAAUGGGCGCAAGCCUGAUGCAGCGACGCCGCGUGAGGGAUGACGGCCUUCGGGUUGUAAACCUCUGUUAGCAUCGAAGAAGCGAAAGUGACGGUAGGUGCAGAGAAAGCGCCGGCUAACUACGUGCCAGCAGCCGUGGUAAUACGUAGGGCGCGAGCGUUGUCCGGAAUUAUUGGGCGUAAAGAGCUUGUAGGCGGUUGGUCGCGUCUGCUGUGAAAGGCUGGGGCUUAACCCUGGUUUUGCAGUGGGUACGGGCUAACUAGAGUGCAGUAGGGGAGACUGGAAUUCCUGGUGUAGCGGUGGAAUGCGCAGAUAUCAGGAGGAACACCGAUGGCGAAGGCAGGUCUCUGGGCUGUAACUGACGCUGAGAAGCGAAAGCAUGGGGAGCGAACAGGAUUAGAUACCCUGGUAGUCCAUGCCGUAAACGUUGGGCACUAGGUGUGGGGGACAUUCCACGUUUUCCGCGCCGUAGCUAACGCAUUAAGUGCCCCGCCUGGGGAGUACGGCCGCAAGGCUAAAACUCAAAGAAAUUGACGGGGGCCCGCACAAGCGGCGGAGCAUGCGGAUUAAUUCGAUGCAACGCGAAGAAACCUUACCAAGGCUUGACAUAUACUGGACUGCGUCAGGAGAUGGCGUUUCCUUUCGGGGCUGGUAUACAGGUGGUGCAUGGUUGUCGUCAGCUCGUGUCGUGAGAUGUUGGGUUAAGUCCCGCAACGAGCGCAACCCUCGUUCUAUGUUGCCAGCACGUGAUGGUGGGGACUCAUAGGAGACUGCCGGGGUCAACUCGGAGGAAGGUGGGGAUGACGUCAAAUCAUCAUGCCCCUUAUGUCUUGGGCUUCACGCAUGCUACAAUGGCCGGUACAGAGGGUUGCGAUACUGUGAGGUGGAGCUAAUCCCUAAAAGCCGGUCUCAGUUCGGAUUGGGGUCUGCAACUCGACCCCAUGAAGUCGGAGUCGCUAGUAAUCGCAGAUCAGCAACGCUGCGGUGAAUACGUUCCCGGGCCUUGUACACACCGCCCGUCAAGUCACGAAAGUUGGUAACACCCGAAGCCGGUGGCCUAACCCUGGUGGGGGGAGCCGUCGAAGGUGGGACUGGCGAUUGGGACUAAGUCGUAACAAGGUAACC